rnacentral:pre_miRNA from 7 species
UGGUAAGGAUAUUGAAAAAGAGGAACUCUCCUCCAUUGUUGUUCGGACUACUACUGCAAGUGAAAGAUCCCCAAAGGGAGACCCUCACUCAAGCCUCGGGAUGUGGCGCGGACCCAAGAGAGACGCGGAGACCG